CUGAGCGGACACGCCCACACACGUGUAGGUAAAAAGUGAGAAUUUUCCGAAAAUUUGGCUAUGACUUCGCGUCUUUGGAAAUCCCACAACGGAACAGAACAUCUACGAUCUUCUAAGCAUUGAGAGCAUGGCCUUUUCAAUAGAACAAGACCAGCCUAUCUGACACAAUUGUCUGUGAAAACGUAUCAAACAAACGCGACCCUUCCAGGACAGUUGUAUUGAGAUUAUUUCCGACGACGACUCU